GGAACCUGGUUGAUCCUGCCAGUAGUCAUAUGCUUGUCUAAAGGACUAAGCCAUGCAUGUCUAAGUAUAAGCAAUUAUACUUGUGAAACUGCGAAUGGCUCAUUAAAUCAGUUAUAGUUUAUUUGAUAUUUUCUUGCUACAUGGAUACCGGUGGCAAAGUACCGCUAAUACAUGCAAACAAUCCCGCAAGGGAU
rnacentral:rRNA from 1 species